rnacentral:rRNA from 1 species
UUUUCACAUGCAAGUCGAACGGAAAGGCCCUUCGGGGUACUCGAGUGGCGAACGGGUGAGUAACACGUGGGUGAUCUGCCCUGCACUUUGGGAUAAGCCUGGGAAACUGGGUCUAAUACCGAAUACACCCUGCUGGUCGCAUGGCCUGGUGGGGGAAAGCUUUUGCGGUGUGGGAUGGGCCCGCGGCCUAUCAGCUUGUUGGUGAGGUUACGGCUCACCAAGGCGACGACGGGUAGCCGGCCUGAGAGGGUGACCGGCCACACUGGGACUGAGAUACGGCCCAGACUCCUACGGGAGGCAGCAGUGGGGAAUAUUGCACAAUGGGCGCAAGCCUGAUGCAGCGACGCCGCGUGGGGGAUGACGGCCUUCGGGUUGUAAACCUCUUUCAGUAGGGACGAAGCGCAAGUGACGGUACCUACAGAAGAAGGACCGGCCAACUACGUGCCAGCAGCCGCGGUAAUACGUAGGGUCCGAGCGUUGUCCGGAAUUACUGGGCGUAAAGAGCUCGUAGGUGGUUUGUCGCGUUGUUCGUGAAAACCGGGGGCUUAACCCUCAGCGUGCGGGCGAAUACGGGCA